UACGUAGGGUGCAAGCGUUGUCCGGAAUUAUUGGGCGUAAAGAGCUUGUAGGCGGUUUGUCGCGUCUGCUGUGAAAUUUCGGGGCUCAACCCCGAACUUGCAGUGGGUACGGGCAGACUAGAGUGUGGUAGGGGAGACUGGAAUUCCUGGUGUAGCGGUGAAAUGCGCAGAUAUCAGGAGGAACACCGGUGGCGAAGGCGGGUCUCUGGGACGGUACUGACGCUGAGGUGCGAAAGCGUGGGGAGCAAACAGG
rnacentral:rRNA from 1 species